AUUGAACGCUGGCGGCAGGCCUAACACAUGCAAGUCGAACGAGCGGCGGACGGGUGAGUAAUGUCUGGGAAACUGACCGAUGGAGGGGGAUAACUUCUGGAAACGGUAGCUAAUACCGCAUAUCAUCGGAUGUGCCAAGUUGGGAUUCGCUAGUGGGUGGGGUAACGGCGCACCUCGGUGACGAUCCCUAGCUGGUCUGAGAGGAUGACCAGCCACACUGGAACUGAGACACGGUCCAGACUCCUACGGGAGGCAGCAGUGGGGAAUAUUGCACAAUGGGCGCAAGCCUGAUGCAGCCAUGCCGCGUGUAUGAAGAAGGCCUUCGGGUUGUAAAGUACUUUCAGCGAGGAGGCGUUACUCGCAGAAGAAGCACCGGCUAACUCCGUGCCAGCAGCCGCGGUAAUUC
rnacentral:rRNA from 1 species